rnacentral:sRNA from 1 species
GCCAAGCACUGUGGCGCACGCCUGUAAUCCCAACAGCUUGGGAGGCUGAGGCAGGAGGAUCACUAGUUCAAAGCCAGCCUCAGCAACUUAGGGAGAGCCUGUCUCAU